rnacentral:rRNA from 1 species
CCCUUAGUAACUGCGAGUGAAGCGGGAAAAGCUCAAAUUUGAAAUCUGGCGGUUCCGCCGUCCGAGUUGUAAUUUAGAGAAGCGUUACCUGCGCUGGACCGUGUACAAGUCUCCUGGAAUGGAGCGUCAUAGAGGGUGAGAAUCCCGUCUUUGACACGGACUCCCAGGGCAUUGUGGUACGCUCUCAAAGAGUCGAGUUGUUUGGGAAUGCAGCUCAAAAUGGGUGGUAAAUUCCAUCUAAAGCUAAAUAUUGGGGAGAGACCGAUAGCGAACAAGUACCGUGAGGGAAAGAUGAAAAGAACUUUGGAAAGAGAGUUAAACAGUACGUGAAAUUGCUGAAAGGGAAACGCUUGAAGUCAGUCGCGUCGUUCGGGAUUCAGCUUCAGCUUCUGCUGGGUGUACUUCCUGUUCGACGGGUCAGCAUCAGUUUUGGCCGGUGGAUAAAGGCCUGGGGAAUGUGGCAUCCUUGGAUGUGUUAUAGCCCUGGGUCGCAUACAUCGGCUGGGACUGAGGAACUCAGCACGCCGCAAGGCCAGGUUCGACC